CCUACGGGAGGCAGCAGUGAGGAAUAUUGGUCAAUGGACGAGAGUCUGAACCAGCCAAGUAGCGUGAAGGAUGACUGCCCUAUGCGUUGUAAACUUCUUCUAUAUGGGAAUAACAUGUUCCACGUGUGGGAUUUAGUAUGUACCAUCUGAAUAAGGAUCGGCUAACUCCGUGCCAGCAGCCGCGGUAAUACGGAGGAUCCGAGCUUUAUCCGGAUUUAUUGGGUUUAAAGGGAGCGUAGGUGGAUUGUUAAGUCAGUUGUGAAAGUUUGCGGCUCAACCGUAAAAUUGCAGUUGAAACUGGCAGUCUGGAGUACAGUAGAGGUAGGCGGAAUUCGUGGUGUAGCGGUGAAAUGCUUAGAUAUCACGAAGAACUCCGAUUGCGAAGGCAGUUCACUGGACUGCAACUGACACUGAGGCUCGAAAGUGUGGGUAUCAAACAGGAUUAGAUACCCGUGUAGUC
rnacentral:rRNA from 1 species